rnacentral:rRNA from 1 species
AUUGAACGCUGGCGGCAGGCCUAACACAUGCAAGUCGAACGGUAGCACAGAGAGCUUGCUCUCGGGUGACGAGUGGCGGACGGGUGAGUAACGUCUGGGAAACUGCCCGAUGGAGGGGGAUAACUACUGGAAACGGUAGCUAAUACCGCAUAACGUCGCAAGACCAAAGUGAGGGCCCUUCGGGCCUCACACCAUCGGAUGUGCCCAGAUGGGAUUAGCUAGUAGGUGGGGUAAUGGCUCACCUAGGCGACGAUCCCUAGCUGGUCUGAGAGGAUGACCAGCCACACUGGAACUGAGACACGGUCCAGACUCCUACGGGAGGCAGCAGUGGGGAAUAUUGCACAAUGGGCGCAAGCCUGAUGCAGCCAUGCCGCGUGUAUGAAGAAGGCCUUCGGGUUGUAAAGUACUUUCAGCGGGGAGGAAGGCGGUGAAGUUAAUAGCUUCACCGAUUGACGUUACCCGCAGAAGAAGCACCGGCUAACUCCGUGCCAGCAGCCGCCGUAA